rnacentral:rRNA from 1 species
GACAGAGGAUGCAAGCGUUAUCCGGAAUGAUUGGGCGUAAAGCGUCUGUAGGUGGCUUUUUAAGUCCGCCGUCAAAUCCCAGGGCUCAACCCUGGACAGGCGGUGGGAAACUACCAAGCUGGAGUACGGUAGAGGCAGAGGGAAUUUCCCGGUGGAGCGGUGAAAUGCGUAGAGAUCGGAAAAGAACGACCCAACGGCGAAAGCACUCUGCUGGGCCGACACUGACACUGGAGAGAUCGAAAGCUAGGGGAGCGAAUGGGA